rnacentral:piRNA from 1 species
UCUUGUGCGAGAUCCAAGAACCAUCUCUUGG